rnacentral:rRNA from 1 species
CGUAACAAGGUUUCCGUAGGUGAACCUGCGGAAGGAUCAUUAUCCAUCUCAACUGAGCCGGCGCGGCCCCAUUUGGUGGUAACGCGAAAGCGUGUACGCGCCGUCACUCUUACCCUUUUUUUACGAGUACCUUCGUUCUCCUUCGGUGGGGCAACCUGCCGCUGGAAUCAACAAAACCUUUUUUGCAUCUAGCAUUACCUGUUCUGAUACAAAUAAUCGUUACAACUUUCAACAAUGGAUCUCUUGGCUCUGGCAUCGAUGAAGAACGCAGCGAAAUGCGAUAAGUAGUGUGAAUUGCAGAAUUCAGUGAAUCAUCGAAUCUUUGAACGCACAUUGCGCCCCUUGGUAUUCCAUGGGGCAUGCCUGUUCGAGCGUCAUCUACACCCUCAAGCUCUGCUUGGUGUUGGGCGUCUGUCCCGCCUCUGCGCGUGGACUCGCCCCAAAUUCAUUGGCAGCGGUCUUUGCCUCCUCUCGCGCAGCACAAUUGCGUUUCUUGAGGGGGUGGGUCGCAUCCACGAAGCAACAUUACCGUCUUUGACCUCGGAUCAGGUAGGGAUACCCGCUGAACUUAA